GGAAAACACCGCAUACGAAAGGACGGAGAGAGGGGGCGCCUUCGGAGACCGCUAGACGGCACUGGCGAUCGACUUGGCAACGAAACACUUAGAGGCUGCGCGCCAUGGAGGUGUACCGCCGCAUCGCUGAGCGCGUGCGCGGCGCACUCUGGGCGCAUCACCGGCGCCUCAUGCCCGAGCGGCAGUUUCACCGUAUUCUUGCCUACGUGUACAACAACAAGUACGAGUACCAGAUCCGGUUUGACCGCAUGUCCGUCGUAGGCCGGGCGUGGGCUGGCCGCGUCGAGGUGAUGACGACGCCGGGAGGCUUUCUCAAGCGAGUCCGCGUCCACCCCGCCGUCGAGGACCUGUCGCCAGCCCAGCAGCACAAACUCGUGCUCGCUGCGUAUGCCGACGCUUGUCAGCAGGGCCGCGCGCUCAUGGAGCAGGCAGAGCUGAAGGUGUACAAGCAGUUCUUGAAGGACCUGAAGCCGAUCAUCUUCGGCAUUCGCGAUAACCCCGAGUUCUACACAGUCCCGGAGGACUCGAUGGAGACGAUAGGCGGCGUGCUUCGCCGCGACCAGGCGUCGCUCGACGGCGGCGCCGCGGCCAAUGGUGCCGGCGCUGUGCACCGCACCAUCCCGAUGGCCAGGGCACACCAACCCGUCGACGAGGUCCGCCGCCGCCACGCCUGGGAGGACCAGUGGCUUGCAAGCAAGCAGGGCCAGCGCUGGGCUCACAGCCUGCGCGGCAAAGAGUACUUCACACGGCACGGCCCGCAGUACCGGCCGCGUGGUGCGCCUGGCGCGAAGACGCGGACGCUUCCGUUCGAGCUGCUGGCCCCGUACACGCCGAUGGAUGAGGGCCGCCUGCUGAGAAAGAACUGGGUGGCGUACAUGGAUAGCAAGCACGUCGCCGAGUCGCUCUGGACGCGCGCAAAGGUUGCCGAUCGCGAGAAGCAGCUGCGGCAGCUGCAGGAGCGGGGCCAGGCGUGGCAUCGCCCCAUCAACGAGGACGCCGUGCAGCGCUGGUAGCCGAUAUGGGUAUUUGUUUGCGUCUCGCACUUGGGCGUCCGUUGCAUACCGUGUUGUUGUGUCGGCUCUGGAGUAAGAAGGAAAGGGUGAGUGGUGGAGCAUCUCUCUCUCUUGGCCUGUCUGCUUCAUUUUCCUUCGUGCGUUGUGUGUGUGUGUGUGUGUGUGCCGGAGGGGCGAAGGUGCGCUGUGCGCGUAGCGGCUUGGCGUGGAUGUGCCGUUCGCCGUUUUGUUUUGCGUGCGUGCGCGCCGCUCACGGAGGCGCACGGCAGCGGCCACGCGCAAACUCGAAACGAAUCAACGAAAAGGAGCGACUGCAGCGCACACUGCGUUUUCGAUGGCCAUCGAGCGUGCGUGACAAGAUGCGUGCACGCCACCAUCUCUGUCUUGCUUUCCCUCUCCGCCUCUCUCUCUUCCCUUCUGCAGCGCUUUCCACGUGCCUUGCUGGGAGAGGUGGGCAGUGGGGGUGGGUGCGGUGCAGUCUCACCUCCUCACCCCUCCGCACUCCUCUCCCUUUUGACAGCCCCGCCGUCCGCUUUUUCCAUUGUUCUACCACCUCUUGCUCGCUCGCUCGUGUGUGCGUGUGCGUGUGCGUGUACUUCACGCCUGCGUCUCUUGCCCUCCCUUGCGCCCAUCCUGCAG
rnacentral:misc_RNA from 1 species